rnacentral:rRNA from 1 species
CCUACGGGAGGCAGCAGUGAGGAAUAUUGGUCAAUGGACGAGAGUCUGAACCAGCCAAGUAGCGUGAAGGAUGACUGCCCUAUGGGUUGUAAACUUCUUUUAUAUGGGAAUAAAAUGUUCCACGUGUGGGAUUUUGUAUGUACCAUAUGAAUAAGGAUCGGCUAACUCCGUGCCAGCAGCCGCGGUAAUACGGAGGAUCCGAGCGUUAUCCGGAUUUAUUGGGUUUAAAGGGAGCGUAGGUGGAUUGUUAAGUCAGUUGUGAAAGUUUGCGGCUCAACCGUAACAUUGCAGUUGAAACUGGCAGUCUUGAGUACAGUAGAGGUGGGCGGAAUUCGUGGUGUAGCGGUGAAAUGCUUAGAUAUCACGAAGAACUCCGAUUGCGAAGGCAGUUCACUGGACUGCAACUGACACUGAGGCUCGAAAGUGUGGGUAUCAAACAGGAUUAGAUACCCCAGUAGUC